rnacentral:rRNA from 1 species
AAAUGGGAGGCUGCGUAUGAUAAACAUGCGAAGUCGACGGGACGCCCAGCUUGCUGGGCGGAUUAGCGGCGAACGGGUGAGCAACACGAGAGGAACCCGCCCCCAACACAGGGAGAAGCCCGGGAAACAAGGACCAACACCGGAGAGGAGCGCCCACCGCAAGGAGGGAGAAGGAAAGAACGAUCGGCUGCGGACGGACCCGCGGCCCACCAGCCCGAAGGCGAGGAAAGGGCUCACCAAGGCGACGACGGGAAGCCGGCCUGAGAGGGCGACCGGCCACACCGGGACCGAGACACGGCCCAGACGCCUACGGGAGGCAGCAGAGGGGAAUAUAGCACAACGGGCGAAAGCCAGAAGCAGCGACGCCGCGAGAGGGACGACGGCCAACGGGUUGCAAACCACAUACAGCAGGGAAGAAGCGAAAGAGACGGUACCAGCAGAAGAAGCACCGGCUAACUACGUGCCAGCAGCCGCGGUAAUACGUAGGGAGCGAGCGUUAUCCGGAAUUAUGGGGCGGAAAGAGCGCGUAGGCGGGAAGACGCGUCGGACGAGAAAGCCCGGGGCUUAACCCCGGAUCGGCGGGGGGCACGGGCAGACUAGAGGGCAGGAGGGGAGACGGGAAUUCCUGGUGUAGCGGAGGAAGGCGCAGAAAUCAGGAGGAACACCGAUGGCGAAGGCAGGGCUCUGGGCUGUAACUGACGCUGAGGAGCGAAAGCAUGGGGAGCGAACAGGAUUAGAUACCCUGGUAGUCCAUGCCGUAAACGUUGGGCACUAGGUGUGGGGACCAUUCCACGGUUUCCGCGCCGCAGCUAACGCAUUAAGUGCCCCGCCUGGGGAGUACGGCCGCAAGGCUAAAACUCAAAGGAAUUGACGGGGGCCCGCACAAGCGGCGGAGCAUGCGGAUUAAUUCGAUGCAACGCGAAGAACCUUACCAAGGCUUGACAUGUUCUCGAUCGCCGUAAAGAUACGGUUUCCCCUUUGGGGCGGGUUCCCGGGUGGUGCAUGGUUGCCGUCCGCUCUUGUCUGGGAUUGUUGGGUAAGUCCCUCAAUGAGCGCAACCCUCGUU